rnacentral:rRNA from 1 species
UACAGAGGAGCCAAGCGUUGUCCGGAUUGACUGGGCGUAAAGCGUGCGCAGGCGGUUUUGUAAGACAGAUGGGAAAUCCCCGGGCUUAACCUGGGAACUGCGUUUGUGACUGCAAGACUCGAGUACGGCAGAGGGGGGUGGAAUUCCACGUGUAGCAGUGAAAUGCGUAGAGAUGUGGAGGAACACCGAUGGCGAAGGCAGCCCCCUGGGUCGAUACUGACGCUCAUGCACGAAAGCGUGGGGAGCAAACAGG